UACCUACGCUAAGCUGAACUCCCCAGUGG
rnacentral:piRNA from 1 species